CAUGGCUCAGAUUGAACGCUGGCGGCAGGCCUAACACAUGCAAGUCGAACGGUAACAGGAAGCAGCUUGCUGCUUUGCUGACGAGUGGCGGACGGGUGAGUAAUGUCUGGGAAACUGCCUGAUGGAGGGGGAUAACUACUGGAAACGGUAGCUAAUACCGCAUAACGUCGCAAGACCAAAGAGGGGGACCUUAGGGCCUCUUGCCAUCGGAUGUGCCCAGAUGGGAUUAGCUAGUAGGUGGGGUAACGGCUCACCUAGGCGACGAUCCCUAGCUGGUCUGAGAGGAUGACCAGCCACACUGGAACUGAGACACGGUCCAGACUCCUACGGGAGGCAGCAGUGGGGAAUAUUGCACAAUGGGCGCAAGCCUGAUGCAGCCAUGCCGCGUGUAUGAAGAAGGCCUUCGGGUUGUAAAGUACUUUCAGCGGGGAGGAAGGGAGUAAAGUUAAUACCUUUGCUCAUUGACGUUACCCGCAGAAAAAGCACCGGCUAACUCCGUGCCAGCAGCCGCGGUAAUACGGAGGGUGCAAGCGUUAAUCGGAAUUACUGGGCGUAAAGCGCACGCAGGCGGUUUGUUAAGUCAGAUGUGAAAUCCCCGGGCUCAACCUGGGAACUGCAUCUGAUACUGGCAAGCUUGAGUCUCGUAGAGGGGGGUAGAAUUCCAGGUGUAGCGGUGAAAUGCGUAGAGAUCUGGAGGAAUACCGGUGGCGAAGGCGGCCCCCUGGACGAAGACUGACGCUCAGGUGCGAAAGCGUGGGGAGCAAACAGGAUUAGAUACCCUGGUAGUCCACGCCGUAAACGAUGUCGACUUGGAGGUUGUGCCCUUGAGGCGUGGCUUCCGGAGCUAACGCGUUAAGUCGACCGCCUGGGGAGUACGGCCGCAAGGUUAAAACUCAAAUGAAUUGACGGGGGCCCGCACAAGCGGUGGAGCAUGUGGUUUAAUUCGAUGCAACGCGAAGAACCUUACCUGGUCUUGACAUCCACGGAAGUUUUCAGAGAUGAGAAUGUGCCUUCGGGAACCGUGAGACAGGUGCUGCAUGGCUGUCGUCAGCUCGUGUUGUGAAAUGUUGGGUUAAGUCCCGCAACGAGCGCAACCCUUAUCCUUUGUUGCCAGCGGUCCGGCCGGGAACUCAAAGGAGACUGCCAGUGAUAAACUGGAGGAAGGUGGGGAUGACGUCAAGUCAUCAUGGCCCUUACGACCAGGGCUACACACGUGCUACAAUGGCGCAUACAAAGAGAAGCGACCUCGCGAGAGCAAGCGGACCUCAUAAAGUGCGUCGUAGUCCGGAUUGGAGUCUGCAACUCGACUCCAUGAAGUCGGAAUCGCUAGUAAUCGUGGAUCAGAAUGCCACGGUGAAUACGUUCCCGGGCCUUGUACACACCGCCCGUCACACCAUGGGAGUGGGUUGCAAAAGAAGUAGGUAGCUUAACCUUCGGGAGGGCGCUUACCACUUUGUGAUUCAUGACUGGGGUGAAGUCGUAACAAGGU
rnacentral:rRNA from 2 species